UACGUAGGGUGCAAGCGUUAAUCGGAAUUACUGGGCGUAAAGCGUGCGCAGGCGGUUCUAUAAGACAGAUGUGAAAGCCCCGGGCUUAACCUGGGAAUGGCAUUUGAGACUGCAUAGCUAGGGUGCGGAAGAGGGAAGCGGAAUUUCCGGUGUAGCGGUGAAAUGCGUAGAUAUCGGAAGGAACACCAGUGGCGAAAGCGGCUUCCUGGUCCAGCACCGACGUCAGGCACGAAAGCGUGGGGAGCAAACAGG
rnacentral:rRNA from 1 species